rnacentral:rRNA from 1 species
CCUACGGGAGGCUGCAGUGGGGAAUAUUGCACAAUGGGGGAAACCCUGAUGCAGCAACGCCGCGUGAAGGAAGACGGUUUUCGGAUGGUAAACGUCUGUUCGUAGGGAAGAAGAAUGACGGUAGCUAAGGAGCAAGCCACGGCUAACUACGUGCCAGCAGCCGCGGUAAUACGUAGGUGGCAAGCGUGGUCCGGAAUUACUGGGUGUAAAGGGAGCGCAGGCGGGAAGCCAAGUCAGCGGUGAAAACUCCGGGCUUAACUUGUCGACUGCAGUUGAAACUGGUUUUCUUGAGUGCAGUAGAGUUUGGCGGCAUUCCUCUUGUAGCUGUGCAAUGCGUCGAUCUUCGGCGGAACACCGGUGGCGAAGGCGGCCCACUGGACUUUACCUGCCGCUGUGGCUCGAAAGUGUGUGGAGCAAACCGGAUUCGCUACCCUGGUAGUC